rnacentral:lncRNA from 1 species
UGGAACUGAAUAAAAAAGUGGUCGACAAGGAUUUUGCAUACAAUAUUAUUAUUGAAAUAAUGAAAUAAAAGGAGGAUUUUGAAUAAAUCUAUUGAGAAAUAUAGAUAUGGAAUAAAUUGAUCAAAAUAGAGAGAUGCAACUCAAGCACAAUUAAAUUUAUGUAGUUUUUGAACCAGUAGCCCAAAUAUCUAAAGGUGUAAAGCCAAAGAAAGUGCAAAUGAAGUAGUUUUGCAUAAGCGGAAUAAAAAUAUGAAGUUUUUCGCUAAGUCCUGGUAUUGGUUAUAAAAAGAUAUAAUAUUCUUUUGUGGUUGUAAGCGGGCCAAUUUGCCUGGGUCUACAUUAAAGCCGAAAUAAAGAAACAAAAAACCAAAACAGUCCAUUAAAUGUCCAAUUACAUAACAAAAAUAAAAUAAAAUAAAAAAUAUAAUGACUAGUCCAAUUACAAAUUCCUAACCCAAAACCCUGAUGGCCAAUUGGCACAAUGCCUAAACCAAAUCUCAGCCAAGGCAAACCCUAGCCUAAUGCUUGCGCCGCAACCAGACAAUGCCUCCGUACGCUCCAGCAGCCUCAGCCACGUCUGCGCCUCCGUACGCCUCACGCCAAGGGCCAGCGCAUGCCCCGUACUUUGUACCUACAAACAAACGAAAUAAAAACAGCAGCAAAUAGGAAAUAAUGAAAAGAAAAUUGUAUUUUUUAUUUUGAUUUUCUUUCUUUUCGGCUAUAAAUCCAAGAGUUUUGAUUCUUGUAAGGGGGUUACAUGCAUAUUACGCAUACUAAAAAUACAUAUUGAAUAGAAAGUUCAAAGAGUAAUUGAAAAAAAGGUGAUCCCGAGUGCUUCGUCAGCUUUUCUCUUGAAUCUGUUUCAUCUAUUUUCUUUUCUAUAUUUUGCACACGUUUAUUUACAUAAGAAAGUAAGAAAGGAAAACAUACCUUCAAACGAGCCAUCAGAGACCAUCUCUUCUUCGUUGAAAUCGAAGCUUGAGAUAGGUUUUCGGGGCUAAAAAUCUGACCUUCUAAGAUGAGGUUUAGAGUAGGAAAAUAGAAUGUUUCCAUGGCGAGCUACCUUCCAUCGGCUUCAAUGGUGGAAUGGUGGCAGUUGAAAGGACGAAAGGGGUUGGAAAAGCCCCAAAAUUACGGCGCCGAAACCCUAGCAAAUGGGUAUUCAGUUUCUGGUUUGAAAAAUAACUAAUUGCCAUUCCUUUUUUUUUAUUUUUUUGAGAAUGAAACGAAACAGCACCGUUUCAAGGGGAAGGGUCUGCGCGUCGACCUGCUCUAGAACCCAAACCCGCGCCUUUGUGCCUCAAAU